AAAACGACUCUCGGCAACGGAUAUCUCGGCUCUCGCAUCGAUGAAGAACGUAGCGAAAUGCGAUACUUGGUGUGAAUUGCAGAAUCCCGUGAACCAUCGAGUCUUUGAACGCAAGUUGCGCCCGAAGCCUUCGGGCCGAGGGCACGUCUGCCUGGGUGUCAUGC
rnacentral:rRNA from 1 species